GAUGAACGCUAGCGGCAGGCCUAAUACAUGCAAGACGAACGGUAAGUUGAGUAGCAAUACUUAGCCAAGAGUGUCGUACGGGUGCGUAACACGUAUGCAACCUACCCUAUACAGGAGGAUAGCCUAGGGAAACCUGGAUUAACCCUUCAUAGUAUUAUUGGAUGGCAUCAUUUGAUAAUUAAAACUGAGGUGGUAUAGGAUGGGCAUGCGUCUGAUUAGUUAGUUGGCGGGGUAAUGGCCCACCAAGACGAUGAUCAGUAGGGGUUCUGAGAGGAAGAUCCCCCACACUGGCACUGAGAUACGGGCCAGACUCCUACGGGAGGCAGCAGUAGGGAAUAUUGGUCAAUGGAUGCAAGUCUGAACCAGCCAUGCCGCGUGCAGGAAGAAGGCCUUCUGGGUUGUAAACUGCUUUUGCCAGGGGAUAAAAUUUCCAUUGCGUGGAAAACUGAAGGUACCUGGUGAAUAAGCCACGGCUAACUACGUGCCAGCAGCCGCGGUAAUC
rnacentral:rRNA from 1 species